CAAGCGUUGUGCGGAAUUACUGGGCGUAAAGGGUGCGUAGGCGGCACGGUAAGUCAGAGGUGAAAUCCCGGAGCUCAACUUCGGAAUUGCCUCCGAUACUGCCGUGCUUGAGGACUGGAGAGGAGAUUGGAAUUCACAGUGGAGCAGUGAAAUGCGUAGAUAUUGUGAGGAACACUAGUGGCGAAGGCGAAUCUCUGGACAGUUCCUGACGCUGAGGCACGAAGGCCAGGGGAGCAAACGGG
rnacentral:rRNA from 1 species